GUUUUAACCCCAGAUCUGGCAUUGUCACUGUAUGACCUCAGAUAAGUCAUUUUACUGCUCCCAGUAUAAUUUUCUUUUUUCUUUUUUUUUUCAGUUUCUUCCUUGCAAAAUGAUGGAGUCACUGAGUAAAUGAAAAGCUCAUGAAAAUUCUAGAGAGAAGAAAAAGGAAUACAUAUCCUCCCCUCAAAGCAAAAAAAGACAAGCUCUAAGUAAGUCUAAAGCCUGAGACUCUGAUUAGAGCCUGCAAUGGCUGGCUGCUGUUGAGUAUACAAAUGAAAUGGAGCUGCUGCCCCCAGCCAUCAAGGAUUUCCUGCUUUAACUGGGAAAUUAAGCAUAAAGCAGCAUAAGAUUUUGGGACAGCGAUUUUUACCUGUGAUCUCUGAGGAUUUUUGAGAUAAAAUUCCAGAGAAGACAAAAAAAAAGGGCAAGUUCCUUAGAGAGGUCAGGUCUGCGUCUGCCAAGCAAAUCCAGUGAAUCUUGGGAUGUUUUAAUAAUCCAAAUCUUCACAAUGGGCAUGCAUGAGCUUCUCUUUCAGGUUUGUAGAACAAAGCUCCCUGAGCUUUCCAGCCAGACUAGCAAUAGCUAAACC
rnacentral:lncRNA from 1 species